AUUGAACGCUGGCGGCAGGCUUAACACAUGCAAGUCGAACGCCCCGCAAGGGGAGUGGCAGACGGGUGAGUAACGCGUGGGAAUCUACCGUGCCCUACGGAACAACAGUUGGAAACGACUGCUAAUACCGUAUACGCCCUACGGGGGAAGGAUUUAUCGGGGUAUGAUGAGCCCGCGUUGGAUUAGCUAGUUGGUGGGGUAAAGGCCUACCAAGGCGACGAUCCAUAGCUGGUCUGAGAGGAUGAUCAGCCACAUUGGGACUGAGACACGGCCCAAACUCCUACGGGAGGCAGCAGUGGGGAAUAUUGGACAAUGGGCGCAAGCCUGAUCCAGCCAUGCCGCGUGAGUGAUGAAGGUCUUAGGAUUGUAAAGCUCUUUCACCGGUGAAGAUAAUGACGGUAACCGGAGAAGAAGCCCCGGCUAACUUCGUGCCAGCAGCCGCGGUAAUAC
rnacentral:rRNA from 1 species